GCCCUGCUUGCCUGCUGCUGUCUCUGAGCGUGGUGGGCCUUUCCUGCCGGCCGCUCCGCUCCUUUCUACAGCCCAGGCCCCGUCGAAGUCUCCCGUGUUCACCCCGUUUGUGUUCCAGGCAUCAAGAUGCAGGGCUCAGCCGGCCUCAGACGUGGUGAUGGAGGCCCGUGGAGCCACCUUGGGUGACCUGCAGACGGGAGUGGACCAUGCCAGGCUCUUACAGAACAGUGAGGCCCAGAGGGCAGGAGUCUUGCUGGAGGUCAAGUGGCAGAGCCAGGACAGAAUCCCAGGCAUGGAAAAAACCUGUUGACCUUUGUUGAUGUCAGCCGUGGCUGUCCUUGUGAACGACGUGGCUCUGGUGGCUGGGUUGAUCCGGAGCCGGGCUGAGCUCGGCAGGCGUCGGUGCGGUGCCCGCCCUCCAGGCUCUGCACGGUAGGAAGGAAGGGCGUUCGGACCCGCUGGUUUCCGGAGCCUCCGGGGCGUCGUGGGAACCGAGGGACCCGCCGGCCACGACCUGCGCUGGAAGCCCUUUUGCCUUUCUAAGGAAAAACCCAAAGUGAGAAGUCUUGGGACCAAGGAGAACACCGAAGAAGAGCCUGGGCUCUCGUGGGGCCGCUGAGCGAGAAGCGAGGAAGGAAGCCGGGUCGGGCCUCAGAGAAAUCUGGCAGGCAGGGAGGCUUGAACUGUGAUUAAAAAGGGGAAGAACCGCAAGUCCCCAUUUAAGUCAGCAGAGCUGCUGUCUGGGCAGCGAGAGGGAAAGUGCUUGUGGCUGGCAGGUUUCGCAGCCAGUUGGCAGAAGCUGAGUACCUGGCUGCUGCAUCUGUGCCACCUGGCCUGGGGUGCUGCCCUCGGCCUCGGUCUCCCCAAGAGUAAUGGAGAGUUAAUAACGGGGUGCCAGUUUAGACUUUCUUGAUACCUUCCCCCCUUGUCGCACAAUGUCAGAUGUGGGAAUGUCACAAGGACACUUCUUAAUGGGGGUGUCAGCUCCACACUUGGCAACUUGAAUCCAAAAUUCAACAACAGGUUCUUCUGCUUAAAACCUUUCUUGGCUCCCCCUGCCCUCGAAAUAAUUGCCAGACUCCCCGCCAAGCCCUUGAAGACACCUUGUAAAGGGCCUUCCUCUCCAUUCUAACCAUAGGGAAGGGCAGAUCUCUCUAUUGCCUUUUUAAUUUCCUCCAACUCACUAAACAUAUUCCCACCUCAGGACCUUUGUACCUGCUGUUCCUUUAUCGGGAAUACCCUUCCCUCCACUUUAUCUUGUCUGGAUCCUUCUUGUUGGUAAAACAUUAGCUUCUCAAGAGAAGUCCUUCCCAAGCUCCCAAAGACAGUCUCCACCCCCUCCAUCCUGUAACUGUUAUUGCCUUCUUCAUAAGUUACCCUUUUAAUGCGUACCCUCACCAGAAUGCGAGUUCCAUGAGGGAAGGGACAUUUGUUUCUUCUCUGCUGUGUCCCUAGACACCAUGCUUGGCAUAUAGCAGGUAUUCAAUACCUAUUUGUGGAAA